UAGGGAAUCUUCCGCAAUGGGCGAAAGCCUGACGGAGCAACGCCGCGUGAGUGAUGAAGGUCUUCGGAUCGUAAAACUCUGUUAUUAGGGAAGAACAAAUGUGUAAGUAACUAUGCACGUCUUGACGGUACCUAAUCAGAAAGCCACGGCUAACUACGUGCCAGCAGCCGCGGUAAUACGUAGGUGGCAAGCGUUAUCCGGAAUUAUUGGGCGUAAAGCGCGCGUAGGCGGUUUUUUAAGUCUGAUGUGAAAGCCCACGGCUCAACCGUGGAGGGUCAUUGGAAACUGGAAAACUUGAGGGCAGAAGAGGAAAGUGGAAUUCCAUGUGUAGCGGUGAAAUGCGGAGGAAAAUGGAGGAACACCAGUGGCGAAGGCGACUUUCUGGUCUGUAACUGACGCUGAUGUGCGAAAGCGUGGGGAUCAAACAGG
rnacentral:rRNA from 1 species